AGAGUUUGAUUAUGGCUCAGGAUGAACGCUGGCGGCGUGCCUAACACAUGCAAGUCGAGCGGAGAUAAGUUGAAGCUUAGCGAUUCUUAUCUUAGCGGCGGAUGGGUGAGUAACACGUGGGUAACCUGCCCUGCACUGGGGAAUAACAGCUGGAAACGGCUGUUAAUGCCGGCAUAUGCGCACGGAGCCGCAUGGCUUUGGGCGGAAAGAUUUAUCGGUGCAGGAGUGGGCCCGCGCCGGAUUAACUAGUUGGCGGGGUAACGGCCCACCAAGGUGAUGAUCCGUAGCCGACCUGAGAGGGUGACCGGCCACAUUGGGACUGAGACACGGCCCAAACUCCUACGGGAGGCAGCAGUGGGGGAUAUUGCACAAUGGGGGAAACCCUGAUGCAGCGACGCCGCGUGAAGGAUGAAGUAUUUCGGUAUGUAAACUUCUAUCAGCGGGGAAGAAGAUGACGGUACCCGACUAAGAAGCCCCGGCUAACUACGUGCCAGCAGCCGC
rnacentral:rRNA from 1 species